rnacentral:rRNA from 1 species
CUUUCUUGAUUCGGUGGGUGGUGGUGCAUGGCCGUUCUUAGUUGGUGGAGCGAUUUGUCUGGUUAAUUCCGAUAACGAACGAGACUCUAGCCUGCUAACUAGGCGAUUUCCGGUACCCACAACAGUGUUACCGGCGAUUCAAUUUCUUCUUAGAGGGACAGGCGGCUCUUAGG